AAAGAUGGGGUAUAAACCUUUGUAGAGCAGCUUUCAAGAGCACAAUUCAACCAAUCCUUUGCUUGCAGCUUGAUCUGGAUGCUUGGUAUGAGAGCUAGGCUUAAGAAUUAGUGAUGAUAAUCAACUGAUAUUGUUGAAAAUCACACUUGAAAGUGAAAAGUGAAAAUGCAAAUUCCUUUGGUGAGAGGUUAGGGAAGCAAUUCAGCAGAGGUUCAGGCGCC
rnacentral:lncRNA from 1 species